UCUCUUUCUCGCUCUUUCUGUUUCUCCCUCUCUCUCUCUCUCUCUUUCUUGCUCUCUCUCUUUCUCUCUCUCUCUCUUUCUCUCUGCCUGCCACAAGAGUGCUUGCCAAAAGCAAAAUCCUCUCUUCGGUUUGUUCUCUUCUCGUGCUUGCUCGAUAGUGUAGUCAACCAGGUGUAUCGUAGCAAUAAGUGUUUCAUACUCGACAUGCUAUACGGUUGUUCUUAUCAGUGCUCCAACGACAGUACGACGACGAGGACGACGACAACGAUAACGAGGAGAAGGAGGAUAAGGACGGUGAGGAGGACAAGCAGGAGGAGAAACGGAGAUUGCUCGUCGAAGAGGCUCGUCGUAGGAAGAAGGAGCGUGGGAGCUGAGAGCGCGCUUCGCCGCUGCUGAGAAAGUCCUCCUUCUCCUCCUCCUCGUCGCUUACGAGAGAGGAAAAGAAAGAGGAAGAGAGACUGACAAACAGAGAAAGAGAGAGAGAGAGAGAGAGAGAGAGAGAGAGAGAGAGAGGAAAACCGAAGAAGAAAAAGAAGAAGAAAAAAGAAGAAGAAGAGUCGCGGUGGAGACGGCGAAUGCGAGCGAAACGACGCAAGCAGCCCGGCUUGAGCUGGCAUGAACGCCGAGGGAAACGACAACGGGCACGAGGACAACGUCAACGUAAACGACAACAAGAGAAAGAACAAAAACAACAGUGGGAACAAGAAAAACAAAAUAACGGAGAACGAGAAGAGCGGCUACCGUGAGGCUCGCGGCGAUGCUCAUAGACGUUACCUGACGAGCGCACUCGUGCGUACGAGCAAGUCGCGAUUUUCGUUAUCGACGCUCGAUCCCUCUGUCCGCGUCGCUGGUAUCACCGACGAUCAUCGUCAUCGACCUCACGGCGAACAACCCCACGCUCCUGCGCGCCGUUUUUGCGUCCUCUUACAUUCUUGUUAAGAUAUCGUCUUAUUUCGCUCGAUCAAGGUGAACUGCGGCAGCGUCAAUAGCUGUUUGAAGGGACAUUGGCUUCUCAUCCAAACAGAUUACGAUGAACAAGGAACCAUCGUAUUGGGGUAGAGGGUGCCUCGCGUGACACACGUCCUUCCUCGGUUCUUUUCCACCAGGAGACGGAGUGUCCGGGUCUCGUUCGGCCACGCUUCGUCUCCUCUCUUCUUCCUCUUCUUCUUUUUCUACUUCAACUCCAACUUCUAUUUCUAGUUCUAUCUCUACUACUCUUCGAGCACCAUCGUUAUCUUAAUCUUCUUCUUUUCCUUUCCUACUUUUUCAUCGUUGCCGUCAAUCUUAACUAUCUUUCUCCUUUUUUCUCAUCUCUCUCUCUCUCUCUCCCUCUUGUUUUGCCCGUUACGUUCGAAGCUACCCUUACGACGAGGACACGCGUACCAGGGAGGCACGAUAGUAUGACGGUGAUGCUGCUGCAACGUUCGGUCACCCCGCAGUCGACGCACCGCCAAAAGACAGCGAAGAAGGACUGCAGCGCGAAGCCGCCCUUUAUCUUCCUGCUGGACGAUCGUCAGGAGCACAGGCGAUCUAUAGACGCCUCCAUCAUCACGACCACUAACAACAACAACAACAACAACAACAACAACAACAUCAUCAAUAAUUUCAACAACAAUUACGAAAACAAUUACACUCCCACGACCAAUAAUAACAACAAUAACAACAACAAUAAUAACAAUAAUAUCAACAACAACAACAACAACAACAACAACAAUUACGAGAGUGGGAACAAAAACAAUAUCGUGAAAAGGAGCGUCCGUAGAAGCAGCGGAAGCCGCGAGUACGCCGUCGAGGAGGCGCCGGCUUCGGUGACGUCUCAGAGACGCACCGCCGGUGGCCAGGACGUCGCGAUGCGAUAUUAUCGGAUCUGGAUUUACGCCUGUAACGGGGUGCUCUUCUUCAGCGCGGCUGCAUUCGCCGCGGUCGUAUCAAUGUCCAUUAUAUUCACCGGCGAUCCCAGAAGGCACGUAAUACCUGGAGUCCCAAGAGCCUUCGAUCCGACGGCCCUAUAUGCUUACCUCGCUUUGGGUACUCAACUGGGACUCGUUCAGUUACUCGGUUGCGUUGCCGUAAGAAGACUCAGCGCCAAAUUACUCAACGUCUAUUGGGUUCUACUCUUGGUCCUACUCUUCGGAGACAUCGUUAUCGGUAUCGUUUGGGUCGUCCGUUCCGAGGGAAUGAACGCUCAACUCAGGCCCAUGCUAAGGCUACGAUUACAGACGGAGUACGGUAAGGAGCCACGAUUCAGCGAGCAUUGGGAUCGACUGCAGAAGGAAUUCACGUGUUGCGGUGUAACAGGGCCGCGUGAUUUCGGAUCCCGUUGGCCGCAGACAUGUUGCGGGCCCAUCAUGAAUGUCAGCGACACCUGCCAGCAACCAUACUCGCGAGGAUGCGACGAAUCCUUGCUACGCUGGUUAAGAGAAACUUCCGAUCGCCUAUUCGUAUUUGGCUUUUGCGUCGUGGCCUUCACCAAACUCUGUUUCCUCGGUAUUCUACGAUACGAGAUACGUGAGAUGAUACAAAAGAUACGGAUGCUGCGCGAACCACCCCCACCGGCGACAACUUUUGCCCAGCCGCCAUUUUCGCAGGUGAUGUCGGAAGCCACUACCAAUAAUGGCAGCAUCGUUCGACGAACCACUCUGCCUAACGCCGUUACUCCUUCCGGAAACGCAUCGUUACUUUUGCAAACGGAGGAAUGCAAUACAGGCCGACAUCCUCUAUUAGCGAACAAUCUUCAAGAUGGUGGAGCCGAUAGCGACACGAACAGUCACUGUGCUUUGAUCUUAGAAGAGACAACGCCAACGUCGGCCAAUCACAAUUGCGGUACGCGCGAGAAGAGCAACGGUAACAAUAAUUACGAGAUGCGGGAGUUUAACAGAAGAUUGUUACUCUCGAACGGCGGUAGCCCAGGUACGCAAGGUGUCACAGCAGGUGGGCAAAGCAGGCGUACCUGACUAUGGAAGUGGUGGCGAAACACCUGGAACCAUCUUCUCUACAGGAGCAACCGGCCCGCCGAAGUACCAGUAUAUAAAUAAGCCUACGAUCUUCGAAAUUGAAGGAACGAGAAAAAAGGAGAAGAAAGGAGAGGAGAAGAGAGGAGAAGAGAAAACAAGAGAAAAGAAGAGAAAGACGAAGGAGAACUGCGAGGAUUUGUACUGCAAAGAGCAACUCGAUCGCUCGUUUAGCUCGCCCGGAGUAGAAGCCCUUCUUUCAGUUUCAGAAAUAGCCACAACGAGAAAGGAGAGAGAAAGAACGUAGUACAUACGUACAUAGAUACAUACAUAUAUACAUACGUAUGUACGUAGGUACGAUAUAUAUAUAUAUAUAUAUAUAUAUAUAUAUAUAUAUAUAUAUACAUACACAACAUACGUACGUACUUACAUGCGUGUUUGUGUACACUAAAUGCACGUAUGCAAUUUGCCGUGGACAAAAACGAGGUAUAAUAGGAUGCUUUUUGCUUCCCCAGAAUAGUAAUAGAAAACAAACAAUUUUUCUUUCAGAAAGAAAUGUUUCCUUCUAUUACUACUUAACAAUAUCCGGAGAAACUUCCGAAAUUACUUAAAUUCGAAACGAUCGAUCGAUCGAUCGAUCGUAGAAUGUAAGUAGUUUGGAAUAAGUUUAUAUAAGGGCAAGAUAAAUCUAGAGAAACGCUUGUAAAGCGUUCUAAUCGUGGCUUUAGCUUCGCAAUGUUAUACUAAAUUUAUCUCUUAAGUUUGCUUUUUCUUCUUAAGCUUACUGAAGAAGACGAGACGAGACAAGACGAGACGAGACAAGACAGUGACAAGAUACGUCUCUUCUCAUACUCUUAUUCACAACGUACAUACGUAAGUAAAUAUGUACGUAUGCGUGUAUGCGUGUGCGUGCGUAUGUGUAUGUAUAUGUAUAUGUAUCCUACGUAAUAUGUACGCGUUGAAAACUCGCACCUAUCUUUAUUAAGAGACCCAAGAGAUUGCACGAUCGAGCCGACGUCGUGCUAUUAACGAUAUCCGAUGAAAAAAAAAAAAAAAGAAAAAAAAAAAGGAGUGAUAGCAAAAAGGGGGAUCGAAGUAGUAGGUAUCGAAGUGACACUGGACGCUUUCUAAUUAAACGAUAAUAAUUCUAACGUAACACAUUGAUACGUCACAAAGGAUAGACGCUAGACUUUUUAACGCCCCUACGAUCCUUUCAUCAAAGUUUUCUUCUAACGCAACGUAUUCCUUAUACGUCUUUCCGUCCUCGCACGGUCGUUUUACACACAUGCUACUUUUGUAGAAUUAUUUUUAGCGGUAAGAGAGAACAAGAGAGAGAUAGAGCAAGUGUGCGUGCGUGCAUAUGUAUAUCUAUAGGUGCGAUAGAAAGAGAGAAAGAGAGAGAAGGAAUUUUUUGUUUCCUCCUUUAAAAUUUUCUUAACAAAAAGAAAAUAAUUGAUGGCUUUUCCCGAGACAGCUCUAGCAGAUCAUUUUUAUAUGAAAAAUGGAAGCAGUAUUCUCUAUGAUAGUAUAUCACAGUAUGUCGCGUAAACUAUCGUCGUUAGUAAAGAAGAACGAGAGAUAGAAACGAUGCAUCGAUUUAUAGGAGUAUUUUAAAUAGAAUAUAUGAGAGAUAUACUAUCAUUAUGAAUUUUUCUCUUAUCGAUGAAACAUUACGUACAUAUGUACGUACAAUGAGAAAAACACAAAAGUCUCCAGGACAUAACAGAUGAUCAACAGUUUCUAAUUCUUUUUACACAAAUGAUACAUGUAGCGCGAGUAGUGUGUAUUGAUUUGUGGUAAAACUAAUGAGGAUAUGAAAUAUAAAAAUCGAGGUAAUUGGCUUCCUAGUUAGGAUCUAUCGAAUCUUAGGAUUAUAUGCGUUAACGAAUGUAAAAGGCAUUGUAUACAAAAAAAAAAAGAGAAAAAACAAAUAUUAGUAGGCUGUAUAUAGCGGUGUAUGGUAGAAAGUUAAUUAAGUGUCGAUCGUCUGCUUAAGAAAAAGCCAGAAAUAUUGUGUCUAAAAAGAAAAAAAAAAAAGGAGAAAUAAAUAAUAAAAAAAAAAAAAAAAAAAAAAAAGAAACUGAAUGACCACAUCAUAACGCGAAUAUACUCGCAUGGAAGGACUUAGAGAAUAACUUUCUGGAAAAAGGAUCGAAUCGUUUUCUAAGAAAAGAAUUCCUGGAAUUCUCCUUCUACUUCUUCUACUUCUUCUUCUUCUUCUUCUUCUUCUUCUUCUUCUUCUUCUUCUUCUUCUUCUUCUUCUACUUCUUCUUCUUCUUCGAGAAAAAUCGGUCAUUUAUAUUUGCGUGUAAUCACAACGGCGUGGAAAACAGGGUAUUAUCAAAAUGACGUACGUCAGCAAUCGAUUAUUAGAAAGUCAUUAGUAAUUAUAGUAUCAUAUGUGCGGUACGUAUUUGUUACUGAAAAUUUUAUGAUACCUUCGUUUCCUUGGAUGUGACAUUUGUUAGAAUAUUAUUUUGGAGACGCUUCUGACAAAAACUCUUAAGGGUUCUUUCUUAAUCAGGCUAUCGAAUAAUCGUUGAAUGUAAUAAACUAUUAACAAUGUCUCAAAGCUUACACCUCGCAGACACGCAGAGCCUCUGCCACUGAUUGUAUCGUAAGGACAUUAUACAUAUACGUGAAAUAGACUAAAUGAUUUUUAAUUAAUUAUUUUUAGAAGGCAAGUGUGUUACUAUAAGCCGCCCAGAGGUGAAGAGAAACCACGCUGAUCAUUGAUCAUAGAGAGAAAGUACGUAAAUGCUUUUACAUUAAACUUUUGGCCGAGUAGAACUUACUGUUAACUAGCUACCACGUACUACGAUUAUUAAAGUAACAAAGGGACGAUUUGUACACUCGAAUCUAACUCGGCCAAUAAAUCCUAAACAGAAUAUACAGUCCUGUCGUAAAGAAGGCUUUAAAGUAAACACGAUUUAGCGAUUUGUAACUGAUUGAUAUUUAAAAGUAAUAUGUAAAUUGAGAUGAGUCUAAGAGAGGGAGCUUUGAAUAGUGCCUGCUUAAAAUCCAGUUUACUAUAUCUGAUACUGUUAGAUAUGGUACUCACAUUACGACGUAACCGACAGAUUUAAUAGAGAGCUAUCGUAGCGAAGUAUGGGAAAAAGUGUCGUUUAUGGAAUACGUUCGUUGUUUUAAAGUCACACAUGACAAAGCACAACGAAAUACAUACAUAAAUGUAGAGCCGCUGUUUAUAUUUAUGCGAAUUCAAAAAGCAGCGUAUCUCUGAUAUAGAGAGAUCAUAUCUAAACUUAAAGAUACGUUAGCUUUAACUUACUUGAAAAUAAGUUUGUACCUUAAGUCAAACUGUUGUAAUGGACAUUUUUUAAAUUAAUACUAUGUGAACCAAGGACACAUAUACACGUACACACGUACAAGCGCAUUCACACGUCGAAGAAAAAUUAUUUAACUAACCAUUUUUGCUUUCUUCCAUGGCUUCUACCAACAGAAACCACUCUUCCCCAUACUGUACUAUGAGUUCGUGUUAUUCAAUACCCUUAAGUGUACAUAAAACGUAUGUGGCCGUAAUUGUAUGUAAAUACUGUUACACAUUCUAUGAUUACCAUGAAAUAUGAAUACAAGGAAAAUUGGUUAUUUAGUAUAA